rnacentral:misc_RNA from 1 species
CAAACCUUGAUAGUUCUACAGGUAGCUUUCGGUUUAUUCCUUUUUUUGGGCGCUGACUGUUCUUCUCUUCUCUUCCCUCGCCUCUCUCUUUGCUCUUCAAGGCACUGUACUAUCUCUUCCUCGCAAAUCUCCUUCUUCCAAGCUUUAACAUCUCAUAUCAGAAUGGCAUUGCAAUCAGCAAGCAACCCAACUACCCCUAG